rnacentral:rRNA from 1 species
UACGUAGGUGGCAAGCGUUGUCCGGAUUUACUGGGCGUAAAGAGCUCGUAGGCGGUUUGGUAAGUCGGGUGUGAAAUCUCCACGCUCAACGUGGAGGGGCCACUCGAUACUGCCAUGACUCGAGUCCGGUAGAGGAGUGUGGAAUUCCCGGUGUAGCGGUGAAAUGCGUAGAUAUCUGGAGGAACACCGGUGGCGAAGGCGGCGUUCUGGACUGUAACUGACACUGAGAGACGAAAGCCAGGGGAGCAAACGGG